rnacentral:lncRNA from 10 species
GAAAAAUAAGUACAACUGACAGAAAAAAGUGAAAGCCAGGGUCCUGCACUCGUGAGAUGGCAAGAAUGAGCUUCCUUCAUGUGGUUGUUGGCACUGGAUGAGCUAAGGCGCUGUUGGAUAGGGCUCUGCAUCUGUGGCUCUUUCUUCAGGGUGCGGAGUAGCUGGAACUACAGGUUCUCCCUCCCAAUACAAACCACCUUAAGGAAAAGAUACAACUUAUUGGCAUAAAUGGCUGGGAUUGUUCUGAGGUUGUUCAUAGGUUCAAAGAAAUUGCUGCAGGGACUAGAACAAGGCCUCACACCACCAAGAUUUUCCUCACUUCUUCAGGCAGCCUUCUGCCUACCUGUCCCGCAUGGCGUCAUUCCUCAGAAGGCUUCUCCAGGCUCCUGGCUGUGAUUGGCCAGGUUCUGCUCGUGUUCCCUUGCCGACCACAGGGGUUGUUUCUGAUGCCGAUGGGGUUUGAGUGCAGAAGAAAUGCAUGGACAGGGAAAAAAAGUAGCCAGCAAAUCUCCCUCAGGUGCAUAUUAAGAAGAAAAAUGGAACUAAAAAGGGAAAACAAUAGCAACAAAGAUCAAAAUAAAUAACAAGGAAGCGGAGAGAAGAAAGAACAUGGUGAAGAGAGUGAAACGCAUUGUCAUUUGGGGUGAAUUGCAGAAAGAAA